CUCACCAAGGAGAAGUAAGAAAAAGGAAGAACAAAACCCUAGGUGGAAAAAUUCAAGGGAAAAGUGUGAAAAUUCAAGGAAAUAAGUGAAAAAGGUAAGAUUUUUUCAAUUAAGCUUGAGAUCUCUCUUUCUUAAGCAUUUUUUCUUAUUUUCUAUGGUUGAAUCACAUGAAAUCAUGAUGAAUCCUUUGCUGGCCGAACACUUAGAGGGAGGUUUUGAUGCUUGAUUUGGUUAGAUUUUGAGAUAUUUUAGUGUUUUUAGUUAGUUAGUGAUGUGUAGCAUGAAAAGCCAACAAGAAAAAUUCACUUCCUCCCAUCACCCAUCAUUGGCCGAAUUCUCCAUGUGGAAUAUUGAUGAUGAUUUUGAUUUUAUUUCAAGUGAUUUGGUUAGGAAUUAGUGAUUUAUGGUGUGAGAAUUAAGCUUGAAAAAUUAUAUUGUUAGUGAACCCUCCAUGGUCCAAUUUUCCAAGAGAAAUGUGUGGAUGAUUUUCCCAUAUUUCAAGUUAUUUAAUUUGUGUUUGAUGAUUUGGAGUAUUGGGAGAAAACUGGAAUUAUGUGGAGUUGAAUUGGACAUAUUGGCCAAUUAAUCGGGUGAUAGAUUGAAUUAGGCCAAUACCAUUUUAUUUAGGUACAUAAUUGAAUUUAUAUUGAACACCGUAUUUAGAUAGUUACCCGAGUAUUUCACAUCCCAUUCCAUGCAUUAGUAUAAAGCCUGAAUUAGUUUUACAACGGUUUAGCACAAAUGUAGUAAAUGGCCUAUUGUGCAUUAUGUCUAGGUGGUGAGCUUUCUGGAAAAAGUAAAGAGAUAGUACCCGAGGAUCAAGAAUCGGAGUUGUCACGACCCGAAACUCCCAUUGAGCCCGUGACAACCGUCGCGACGUCCCGAUAGACAUUUAUUACCCGAAAUGUCAAUCGAAACCUCGCAAGGCUUAACAUCAGUUUUUCUCACUUCCCCUGUGAGUAUUAGUCACUAGAAUUAUGUUUUGAGAGAUUAUAAACUAUUUUCAAAUCAAAACAAUAGAAAAACA
rnacentral:lncRNA from 1 species